rnacentral:RNase_P_RNA from 2 species
UUAGGAGGAAGGAUAAUCGGGCGCCUCAGGCGUCAGGAAAGUCCAGGCAGCUUAAGGCAGGAGAGUCGCCGCAAGGCGACACCCGAAAGGGCUGGUUAGAGCAACAGUGACGAUUCUUUAGUGAGCCUAAAGCUCACCAAAGGGUGAAACGGGCAAUCCCCUCCGCUGCAACCUACGAAUGGCUCGUUAUUAGGUCGCCUUACCGAGAGCUAAAGCUUAGGGCAUUAGACAGAUGAUUAUCGAGAAACAGAACCUGGCUUAUUAGCCUCCUAAGUCC